rnacentral:rRNA from 1 species
UGGGGAAUAUUGAACAAUGGGCGCAAGCCUGAUGCAGCCAUGCCGCGUGUAUGAAGAAGGCCUUCGGGUUGUAAAGUACUUUCAGCGGGGAGGAAGGCGAUAAGGUUAAUAACCUUGUCGAUUGACGUUACCCGCAGAAGAAGCACCGGCUAACUCCGUGCCAGCAGCCGCGGUAAUACGGGGGGUGCAAGCGUUAAUCGGAAUUAAUGGGCGUAAAGCGCACGCAGGCGGUCUGUCAAGUCGGAUGUGAAAUCCCCGGGCUCAACCUGGGAACUGCAUUCGAAACUGGCAGGCUAGAGUCUUGUAGAGGGGGGUAGAAUUCCAGGUGUAGCGGUGAAAUGCGUAGAGAUCUGGAGGAAUACCGGUGGCGAAGGCGGCCCCCUGGACAAAGACUGACGCUCAGGUGCGAAAGCGUGGGGAGCAAACA